rnacentral:rRNA from 1 species
CCUUAGUAGCGGCGAGCGAAGCGGGAAGAGCCCAAUAUGAAAAGCCAGCUUGCUGGCGUUGUAGUUGAGCGUCUUUGGGGUGUCAGUUCGGGAAAGUGGCAUGAAAGUGCUCACCGGGGAGGGUGAAAGUCCCGUCCAUCCCGUUCAGGACACCUCGCACGAAGGCGUUUCAGACGAGUCGGGUAGCUUGGGAAUGCUGCUCUAAUUGGUGGUAAAUCUCAUCAAAGGCUAAAUACUGGUGGGAGACCGAUAGCGAACAAGUACCGUGAGGGAAAGAUGAAAAGUACUUUGAAAAGAGGGUAAAAAGAACCUGAAACCGUUACGGGGGAAGCGGAUUGCGUUGGCCUGGUGGCUGCCUGUGUGUUCAGCCAUUUUUUUUAAAUGGUGCAUUGAUACAGGUGGUUAUUCGUCGUGGCUUUUCGAUGGCUGAUAAUGAGUCAUUGAAGGGUGAGGGCUCCCCUUUUUGGGUGAGGACAACAAAUUGACGACCCGAUACGACCCGUCUUGAAACACGGACCAAGGAGUCUAGCGCAGGUGCGAGUCAAAGGGUGUCAAAACCUGUGGGCGCAGUGAAAGCGAAUUUUUUUUAAUGUAAAAACGAGCAGUUUGGGGCGGCAUAGAAUCGUUGAUUCUAGGUCUGACCUUGAGCAGUUGCGCUGGGACCCGAAAGAUGGUGAACUAUGCCGGAGUAGGGCGAAACCAGAGGAAACUCUGGUGGAGGCUCGUAGCGGUGCUAACGUGCAAAUCGCUCGUCGAACUUGGGUAUAGGGGCGAAAGACUAAUCGAACCAUCUAGUAGCUGGUUUCCUC